GACGAACGCUGGCGGCGUGCUUAACACAUGCAAGUCGAACGGAAAGGCCCUGCUUUUGUGUGGUUCUCGAGUUCCGAACGUUUUAGUAACACGUUAGUAACCUGCCCUUUACUUUGUGAUAACUUCAGGAAACUUGUUCUAAUACCCGAUAGGAUCUCCUUCUGCAUGGUUGGGGUUUGAAAUUUUCGGCUGUUGUGGAUGGACUCGCGGGUUAUCAGCUUUUUGGUGGGGUAGUGGCUUACCAAGGCUUUGACGGGUAGCCGGCCUGAGAGGGUGACCGGCCACAUUGGGACUGAGAUACGGCACAGACUCCUACGGGAGGCAGCAGUGGGGAAUAUUGCACAAUGGGCGGAAGCCUGAUGCAGCAACGCCGCGUGCGGGAUGACGGCCUUCGGGUUGUAAACAGAUUUCGCCUGUGACGAAGCGUGAGUGACGGUAAUGGGUAAAGAAGCACCGGCUAACUACGUG
rnacentral:rRNA from 1 species